UUUCCGUAGGUGAACCUGCGGAAGGAUCAUUACUGAGUGAGGGCCCCUCGGGGUCCAACCUCCCACCCGUGUUUAACGAACAUUGUUGAUUCGUCGGGCCCACCCCACGGGCGCCUGGGGGCAUCUGCCCCCGGGCCCGCGCCCGCCGAAGCCACCUGUGAACGCUGUCUGCAGUAUGCAGUCUGAGACAAUUAUUAAAUUAAUUAAAACUUUCAACAACGGAUCUCUUGGUUCCG
rnacentral:misc_RNA from 1 species